AAAACACCCUUUUUCUUCUUCAUUUUCGAAAUUUCCAAGUUGUUCUUGGAGAUUCAAGAUCAUUCCAAGUUUGUUCCAAGCACUUUUGAAGAUCCAAAGGUGAUUUGAAGGUGUUUCAAGCAAGAACCAAGCCCCAUAUCAUCACACUUUGUCAAAAACCCACCAAAAUCUUGAAGGUAUAAAAUUUACUUUGAAAUCUUGUUCUUGAUUUUUGGUGAUAUUGAUGAUGAUGGAAGUUUCUCAAGGUCCUUAGAUGAUUCACAAACUUGAAAAAAAGAAGAAAUGGGUUUUACAAAAAAAAAUGGAAGAGUAUGCACAUGUAUAUAUGACCGUAUAUAUAUGUAUGUAUGCAUAUUUGAGAUUUAGUUUGAUUUUUGAUGGAUUCUUGUUUGAUUGAUUCUUGAAAAGUGAAUUGAAUGUUUGAUCAAAAAGAUGUUAUAUAAAGGUUCUUGUGAUUUGAGUUAGUUAUGUGAAAAAGGAAAUUUUUGGAAUUACAUAUGUAUGUAUGCAUGUGUCGUGUAUGUAUAUAUGUAUAUAUACACUUGUGAGUUUUGUUACUUAGUGAAUAUAUGAAAGAAUAUUGCAUGCAAAUCAUGUAAACAUGAUGAAACAUGAUGAGAAUGUUUUUGAAUAUAUGAACAUGAAAUAAAUGUGUUCUUGGAUGCAUUUAAGUUUAUGUAGGAUGAUGAUGAUAUGAUAUGGGUGCAUUAGAUGCAUGUACAUAAGUAUGCAUGUUGAUUAAAGAUUAUGAAGUGAUGAGAAUGUUAUGUUAUGAACAAAAUUAUUUUUGAUCAGAUUAUAAACAUUAAAAAUAAUAUUAUUUGAUGUGCUAAAAUGGCACGAAACUUUGUCAUAAGGGUUACUAGCUUUACAUGUUGUACAUGAGGCUUAGAAACUUGUAAAAUAAGUGAAAUUAUGUGUUUUGUGUGUGAUAUGUAAGACCUGCACUCUCAUGAGUAUAACCAUCAUUUUAAUCAUUAAAUAACAUGCAUUAUGUUAAAAUAUCAAGUCGUUACGAUUUGGGAUGGUUAUAGUAAAGUUUGAUGCAAAAUUAUGCGGUAAAACGGUUAAAAAUCGGCUUUUCGGAUGAUUUUUAUAAAACUAUUUUAGAUCAGUAAGUAAACUGAUAUUUUUGAUAUAAAAAUAAGUAUUUUAACUUAUAUUAAGUAUCUUUGGUGUUUGGUUAGUCAUACUUGGUGUAACAACCACACAAAUUCUAUUCCAAAAAGGUACACUAAGAAACCCUAAUUAAAAACCCCAAGUGGUACGGUGCGACUCGAAACAGAAAAACGGACGAAACUAGCAACAGGGCCCCCUAAACUCAAGGGGGGGGGGAUCCCCUAAUUGUUCCGUGACUCGCGACAGAAGAUCUAGACACGUAUCAGUUCGAACUUGACACGUUUUCAGGCUAUACUUGACACAAGGAUACCCUAGGUUAGGUGGUCAUCUCAGGCGACACGCGGUAGAAACCCAAGAAGCUGUCGCGACACGCGGGAGCGUCAAAAUUUGGCUAUAAAUUCUAGGGGUUGGUACUUGAACAGUUUGCAUAUUUCGACGUAAAAUUUCAUUACGUACGUUGAUUUAUACUCUGUUUCUUUAAAAAACAAUCACAAUCCCGAACCUCUGCUACGAUAACAGGGUAAUAACUCGAUCACUGCUACGAUACAAUGUUCGAUCGAUUAAAAUCGAUCCAAUGGAUGUUUAAGUGCUGCCCACAUUGGGCUAUACUUUGUCAUUCGUCAUCCGGUCGAGUGACAAAUACCAAUUUGGGGUAAUUGGUUGAUAUAUAAACAUUGUAAUUGCUCUUAAUACUGUAUAUUAUAACAAUGUGUCUUUUGUACAAAUGGAAUGCACUCACCAGUAUUUUCCGCUGAUCAAAUCUUUUUAAAACAUGUUUCAGGUGAUUUACUGUGAACAAGGAAAAGUGCCGCGUAGCACUCCAGCUUGAAUGAAGUGGCUCAGUUAAUAAAUAAACAUGUUUUCUGUAACCAGGGAAUUUCCCAGUGAAAUUCCUUUAUUGUAAAAUAUGGGGUUUGUACCGAAACUUGUAAUAAAAUAAGUCGGUGUUU
rnacentral:lncRNA from 1 species